AUGGCUCAGCUGUCGAUGAUUGUGUUCCGAUCAUCAAACAGUCUUUUACAAUAUACGACAUAGAAAACAUGUGAGUUUUUUUUUGCUAAUAUAUUUACGUAAUUUUUAUUAAUAACAACGUAAGUCAACGCCGCCAGAACAUAAAAAUCAUCCGCACGAACAACAGGAUUUUGUUGGUUAGAAAUAUCAACACUCGUCUUUAAAAAAUGGAUAUGAUUUUUUGCCGGGGCAUGAGAUUUGCAUCUACUUUAGGAUUUACUCCUAUACUGACGACAAAAAAUUUCUUAGAAACAACGCGUUUUAUACAAUAUACGAAUUCAGGACGUUGGAGAUUUAAACUUUUCGAAAAGCAUCUACAUUAUAGAAAUUUGUCAUGCAAUUAUGUCCCGUUUUUCAAUCGUAUUAAAGCGUAUGAAAUCCCAUAUAAGCAUAAAUUUACUAAGAACAUUCUGGUGGCGCGAUAUUAUAACUUGAACGCUAGUAAAAGGAAUAUUCCGAAGGUAGAACCGGCAAAAAAAGUAACAGUGUUUGCGAAAAUGAAGCAAAUGACGAAGGACUACUGGCAUGUUUUAAUACCAGUUCAUAUAAUUACUUCUAUAGGUUGGAUGGUCUCGUUCUAUUUUAUAAUUAAAAAUGGUGUGGAUAUUACAUACGUUAUGGAACUUAUGCAUUUUAGUAAGAAAUAUGUAGAAGUGGUAAAAAACUCAGAUGUUGGAAAUUGGGCAUUAGCAUAUCUUCUUUAUAAAAUAUUCACACCUCUUAGAUAUACCAUCACUAUAGGAUGUACAACAAUGGCAAUUAGACAACUUAGCAAAUCGGGAAUUGUAAAACCCCUGUCAUUUGGUAAACAAUCACAUAUGUCUGCAUAUGAAAUUGUGUCAGAAUCAAGUAAAACAACAAAAACAGGAUUCAAAACGAUAGAACGAAGUACGGAACCUCCGAAAACAUAACGAAUAGAUAAGACGAAGCUGUUUAAUCAAUGGAUAAAAAUAUAUAAAUCCGAAAACCUGGAUGAUCGGGUGGAUGUAUAUUAAUUCUUGUAAAUGUGUAAACGUUAUGAUGUUACGAUAAAAGAAAAAUCUUGUAUGUAAUAUUAUACAAAAGAUAAUGUAUAACUCCUUUACCUUUAAAUCUUAAAAAUGAACUAAGGCUGGUCAGAUAUAUCUUUCUUUAUUGAACGGAUGUUUUUUUACUUUACAUACCGUGCAUACAUUUAAAUAACAUUGUACUUUUCAUCUACAAUACACGCAACUUAUCAUCAGCCUAUGUUAUCUACACGCAGAAGUAUUUAUUAAUCAGAUAUAGAGAAGCUUUUUUUUGGCAGCACAUUUUGUGCGUUGUAGCAUCUUAAAAUUCUAUUCAUCUUUAAUAUAUCGAAUAUUCCUAAAUUCAAAUAUUAAGAUUUAUAUAAAUUUCCAACAAUAACAUUAUGAUUGUAUUAUUAAAAUUCCUGAGUAAUAAUCAUAAACGUCAAAGAGUAUUAAAUGAAAUUUUUGAUAAUAAUUGUAAAUAGUAAUUGAUAUAUGAUGUAUUGUCGUAAUAAAUACUGUUAACAAACGCGAUACAUCGAAUAUGGUAAUAAUACGGUAUAUUUAUUGUAGACCAUCAUACCGAGGCGAAUCCAAAUUCUUAAUUGUAAAAAAAGGAAAAAACGGACACGAUCUGAUAAAAUUGUGCACAUACUAUAUACACGAACUAAAAUAAGGAAUCAUUGCUUAACGACGAUGUAAUUAUUAUGCUAAUAUAUCACAGUUGCCUGCGCAACUCGUUCAUCCUAACGAGAUUACUGCAUUGUCGCAGUACCUUAAACAAAAUAAAUAAGAGCACAUAUAUUAAAUAUACCGUUAACUUAUAUUAAUAGCUGUCAAUGGAAAAUUGUUUCUUGUAGAUCGCAAGGAUAUAUACGUAUAUUGUUAAAAAAGAUCAAACAUCGACCUGACUAUAAAAUCUAAAUGAUCCCAAGAGGCAGUGUAUGUAUAAAGGCGUUUUAAGCUUAUAGAUAUCGUCUGCAGUCAAUAUACAUGCAUCGUUCUUAUACAUACUAUAUUAAUUAUUGUAUCUAUAUAUAUAUAUAUAUCCAACAAGACUCUUUCUAUUGUUUUCAGAUAUAUAUUCUCGAUAUAGACUGCAGACUCGAUAUAGAUCUGCAGACAAUUUCUGUAAGUAUCUACGCGCCUUAAAUAUUUCAAUUCUGUAUCCAGUCUUGCUAGGUUAUGUCAACGUCUCACGUUAUAGAGGAACAAUAAAGCUAUAUUAUUUUCAUAGAUAUAGAUUAAUCAUAUUGCAUAAAUAUUAACAUCUGUGUUUUCUACGAAUUUCUACUUUGUAAACUUUUGAUACUUUGAUAGACAUACGUAAGUUUUAUAUUAUUAAUUAGGUCGGUUUGUUUAAUCAGUUCUUAUGAUAUUCAUCAUUGGAUGAUCGAUACGCGAGCGCAGUUCAAUUUUAAACAUUCAAUUUAAAAUUUGUUAACUUAACUUAUCCCAUAAAUUGAUAGCUAGCUGAUACUGGCUGUGGUGCCCUGGGUUGCGUGUGGGAUAUGCGUUGGAUGUGGCACGCACGACACAUAAGUCUACCAUCGAGUGGGUAGCAUCGUUUGUCCGGUUCAUCGGUCAAUUGCAUGCCACAAUCUUCACAAACGUAACAAUCUACGUGGAAAUCUUUGUCCAUGGAAACGACUCUUACGGUUUCCUCUGUGCCCUGAAAAGCAAGAUCUCUCAUUAUUCAAAAUCGCGUCUAUUUAUAGAAGAAAUUAUAUCACAAAAAUGAAAUUACUUACUUCGACUGGAGUGAUUCCUUUACCACAGGAAGCACAUUUUGGUGCGAACAUUCUGUGGUAAUCGUUUACGCAAUAGAUUUUAUUAUCAACAUCCACGGUGAAGGGAACACCGUCAAGACAUUCGUUGCAAACGCAACAUCUAAAGCAUCCUGGAUGAUAGGACUUCCCCAUUGCUUGUAAUAUCUAUGGACAAGGGAAUACUCGGUUAAUUACCAACAUAAGUCAUCUUAAUAUCGUCGACUUAAUUACCAUUUCCAUGAUGAGGUGACCGCAGAUUGCGCAUUUCUCGGCGGUUUGUUGGAAGCCAGAAUACUACAGACAAAACGUUCUAUGAGCUACGUCAUCGUAUCACGCGUCCAUCGCAAUUAGUGUCUUACGUACCAGAUAAUCUUCCUCACAGUAUACCCUUCCGUGAACAUUAUAAAAUGCUUUGCCACGUAACGCUCUUCCACACGAACAGCAUAUAAAGCAAUUUGUGUGAUAAAGGUUCCCCAUGGCUUGGCAGGCUUGGCCAGCUCCAGUAACUUUUUCACCGCAUGUAUGACAAAUACCUGACAGAAAAUAUCAACGUAUACUUUACAGAUAUCGCGUCAAAACCAUAUGACAAUAUUUUCUUCAUGGCAAUAAACCCCUGAACUAUUUUUGGAAUUGUGCGAGUGCCUUGUCAACCAUAACUCUAUAGUUCGGUCGCAUUGGCAGCGUUUAAAAAUACCCCCAUCGAUACUCGACAAUGAGAUCCGCUCUUCAGGGUCGAUAACUGUCAGAAACAUAGGCUAAUGGCACGAUAUAGAGGAACUAGCUGGAAGAAACGCACUUACAACUAUCAAUGGGUAAUACCGGCCCUGCCAUUCCCACCACAGAAAUCCUUUAUCCCUCAUUCACCGUUCGUGACACUUGCAGUUUCGAUUCAAUAGUUCGGUUUCACUAGGCCAGUCUCGCUCGAACUAGAAUCCGCCAACGAGUCGGACUAGUCUAUCUAUAACAAGAUUACUUUACCGCGGCGAGCGCGACCUGGCCACGGUUGUUUGCCGUGUAUAGGACGUUACACGAAGAAUAGUAACUCGUACACAAAAACGAAGAGGAGUACAAACUAAGCUCAACCUAAACGCCAGGCUACCUCUCGACUCAACAUUGGCUCGCUCAACUGAAGUUCCUAUCCACUCGCGCGGAUCUUUCAGUUCCUCUUUGCCUCGUGUUUAAGCUACGUUCAAAUAAAAUCUAGACCACUAUCGUGUAUGAAUAAUUCUGAAAAUACUGGUUUUAAAAAAAAAUGUUAGGAAACCGAAUAUAGGCAUGGACGAAAGUAAUUUGCAUCGAAUGCAUGCUUAUCUACAUUGAUAAGUGUUUCACGAUUGUAUAAUUUUUCGAAAUUAUUAAAAUAAGAAAACGUGAAACUUUAUUUUUAACGUGUGACAAAAUAUUUUAGAAAUUUUAAAUAAGUAAUGUUAUAAAUCUCUUCGUCGAUUAUGAUGUGGAGGAUAAAUCAUUGAUAUUUCUGCACCGUUAUUAUUUGAAGGUUCUAUCUUUAUAUUCGUGCAAUAUUUUUCAUUGAAAUAUCGAAUAAUUGAUUUCAAAAGAGAAUAGACUUCGAGCAAAAUGCCCAAUGUGAACAUCACCUUACGUUGCAUCGAUACUCACGUAUAAUACAAGGGAGAAAUGAUAUAUGUAUGCGUGUAUCUUAACAUACGCAUGUAACGCGCACACUUGCGGUGCUUCAUGUAGGUGCUAAGACACGUAGGUGGAAACGAAUGGGCAGAGAGUGAAUGUCAACGAAACGUCGUUGUUAAAAAGUUUCGCGACACACUGAAACUUGACUCCAUUUUCCGAAACCGGUCUAACCAAGGAGGGAACUUGCGCCGUGGGAAUUGGCACGGUACCCCUGCUAGUUUUUUAUUCCUUCUCGGAAUCGGCUGCAAAUUAUGGAUCGGAACGUGUCGGAAAUUAAGUCCCCUAAUGAUGGAAUUAUGCGAAAUUAUCGCAUUUUUGAUCUGUUUAAACAUAUUACAUCAAUAUUGCUGGAAAAACGGAUCACGAUAAUCGGUAAGAAUAAAUGAAUAUUGUUCCUAAUAAAGAUGAUGCAACGAGAAAGUUUGGAUCCAACAACAGAUUUAAAGAUAUCGGUGGAAUAUCUUUGUGAACGUUCGACGAUUGUUUUGGUAUUGUUCGAUUCUUACCAAAGUAUUCCCCUUCUUCUUCUUGCUUUUCCAUCUCCUCCUCGAGUUGUCUCGUCAACUCUUCUAUUUUUCUCUCCGCUUCGGUGGGCCCCUGCAAGAAAUAAAUCACAUCCCGCGUUGUGAUCGGUCGGGUGACAAAUGGUGCCAUAGAUCGAGAUAGGAUUUCGUCAUAGGGACACAUAAAUUUGCAUACUGUUACAAACAACGUUUCAAGAGGAAAAAAGAGAAAAGUCGAUACAUAGGGUAUAUUACAUGCAUCGCGGGAAUGCGUACACAGUCUAUGAAUAAAAUAUUGCACGUUCCUUACGGAAGGUCUCGGUGGUAUGACAUUGUAGGGUAGUAAUCCCUUGCCAGAUGGUUUCAUUGGUGGACUGACUGACUUUCUUUCCUCUGGUUCAGGUUCGGAUGGCCUUUGUAGCACAGGUACGCCAGCGUUUAAAAAGACAGGACCGGCCACACCACUGGUCACUCCUGGAGGGAGACUGGUAAUUCUAGGUCCAUGAAUAUUUGGAUCAGAUUCUGUAGUGGUAGGUGUACCAGUAGUCACUGGUGUUUGUAUUUGACCACGUAGAGGACUUCCGAUAUUAUUCGUGGAAGAUGGUGAUACAUGUCUUGGUGAAUUAAUCACGUUUUGUGCGACUGUAUCAGAUGAUAUUUGAUUGUGAGUUGGACUUGAUUUUGGAGAACCUCUUAUAUUAUUGUUAUUAGUUACAAUUCUGGAAUUAUCAUUACGGCUAGGUGAAUACAUAGGAGAUGGUUUUGAUGUUUCAGAAGGAUCAGGUACUUCCUGAACAAAAUUUCUGUCAUUUUGUAAAUUACUUAAUCUUAAAUGCUCUGUUGAUCUAUUAGAAGAAUAAAUUGGAGAAUUUCUGGCAGGAAAAUCUGCUCUAGGUUCUUGAUGAUGAUAAUUUCUUUCAUUUGGUGGCAACACUCUAUUUGGAGAAUAACAAGGAGAAUUACGGCAAGCAGAUUGCUCUGCUUGCCUCACACCGUAAACAGGACUAUCCUGACGAUAUUGUGGUUGUUGUACGCUCUCUAUAUGAUUUGAAGCUCUAAAUCCAUGCUGUCCACUUAUUGAACUAUCCAGAGUACCACGAUAAUGAUGAGGUUCUGGAGGUAAGCGGAUUGGUGGAGACUCACUGUGAUGGUGGAACAUAAGCACUUCUACCAGCCUGAUGAUCCAAAGAUGAAGAAGAUCCUUGUAAGUACCUUGAUGUAGAGGAGUCAACACAUCGUUGUAAACUUGAACCAUCAUAACUUUGACCACGUAUAUUACUUCCUCUUUGUUGUGUAUAUGAUAAACUUUGUGUUAUACCUCUC